rnacentral:tRNA from 1 species
CGUGCCAUGCGCAGCGCGGCGGCAGCGGCCCUGCCGGGGCCGUGUGGCCCUCGAGGGGUGGAGAUCGAUGUUCAAUGGCGUGG